rnacentral:rRNA from 1 species
AUUGAACGCUGGCGGCAGGCCUAACACAUGCAAGUCGAGCGGCAGCGGGAAAGUAGCUUGCUACUUUUGCCGGCGAGCGGCGGACGGGUGAGUAAUGCCUGGGAAAUUGCCCAGUCGAGGGGGAUAACAGUUGGAAACGACUGCUAAUACCGCAUACGCCCUACGGGGGAAAGCAGGGGACCUUCGGGCCUUGCGCGAUUGGAUAUGCCCAGGUGGGAUUAGCUAGUUGGUGAGGUAAUAGCUCACCAAGGCGACGAUCACUAGCUGGUCUGAGAGGAUGAUCAGCCACACUGGAACUGAGACACGGUCCAGACUCCUACGGGAGGCAGCAGUGGGGAAUAUUGCACAAUGGGGGAAACCCUGAUGCAGCCAUGCCGCGUGUGUGAAGAAGGCCUUCGGGUUGUAAAGCACUUUCAGCGAGGAGGAAAGGUUGAUGCCUAAUACGUAUCAACUGUGACGUUACUCGCAGAAGAAGCACCGGCUAACUCCGUGCCAGCCGCCGUAACAC